rnacentral:rRNA from 1 species
ACUACGGGUGGCAGCAGUGAGGAAUAUUGGUCAAUGGGCGCGAGCCUGAACCAGCCAAGUAGCGUGAAGGAUGACUGCCCUACGGGUUGGAAACUUCUGUUAUAAAGGAAUAAAGUGAGGCACGUGAGCCUGUUUGGAUGGACAUUAUGAAUAAGGAAGGGCUAACGCCGUGCCAGCAGCCGCGGUAAUACGGAGGAGCCGGGCGUUAUCCGGAUUUAUUGGGUUUAAAGGGGGCGUAGAAGGGUUGUUAAGUCAGUUGAGGACGUUUGCGGCUCAACCGUAAAAGUGCAUUGGAUACUGGCAGCCUUGAGUUCAGUUGAGUUCGGCGGACUUCUUGGUGUAGCGGU